rnacentral:lncRNA from 1 species
AGUGUCUCAAAUAUUUUCAAAAAUGCGGAAAGAAGUAUUUCCAGGUAAGGAUGGCUUUUUUUUUUUUUUGGUCAAGUUAACACUUUUUUCUUUUUGUCUAACUCUCAAAUCCUUUUAAUAUCCUUGCAGAUAUUGUGCCUCUUUUAAGGAACUUCUCUUAUUGCCUAAAAGUAAGCCACAUGAAUCAGUGGGGCAAUCGUCUUACUCUGUGGUGAGACUCAUCCCUAAGAGUAAAGAGAAGAAUCUGAAGACUUCACUCCAAGCUCAGCUUUGUCUACCGAUACUUCUUCAAAACAACUGCUUGACAUGGUAGAUCUUACCAUGAUUUUUCUGGCUGCUCAGUAUGUCACAGACCAAACAGGAAUGAAGGCUUGCUCCCAGCGGAGAGUGAUGUACCUACAAAGGUGGGAAGCUUCCGCUCUGGCAUUGCCUGGACUGAAAUGCACUGAUGGACGGUCAGCUAUUUGUUGCACUAUUUUGAUGCUGAAACAAAGAAACCUUCCUACGAAUGUUUUUAAGGCAGGGAUGAUUCUACUGCGAGGGACCACAGAAAGUCUACAUCUCAGUAAAACCAGCACUUUUGUUCUGUACUGGGAUUGA